UACGUAGGUCCCGAGCGUUGUCCGGAUUUAUUGGGCGUAAAGCGAGCGCAGGUGGUUUAUUAAGUCUGGUGUAAAAGGCAGUGGCUCAACCAUUGUAUGCAUUGGAGACUGGUAGACUUGAGUGCAGGAGAGGAGAGUGGAAUUCCAUGUGUAGCGGUGAAAUGCGUGGAUAUAUGGAGGAACACCGGUGGCGAAAGCGGCUCUCUGGCCUGUAACUGACACUGAGGCUCGAAAGCGUGGGGAGCAAACAGG
rnacentral:rRNA from 1 species